rnacentral:rRNA from 1 species
GACGAACGCUGGCGGCGUGCUUAACACAUGCAAGUCGAACGGAAAGGCCCUGAGUUUGUGGGGUGCUCGUUUGGCGAACGGGUGAGUAAAACGUGAGUAACCUGCCCUUGACUUUGUGAUAACUUUAGGAAACUGGGGCUAAUACCCGAUAGGAGCUCCUGCUGCGUGGUGGGGGUUGGAAAGUGUCGGCCGUUCGGGAUGGACUCGCUGCUUAUGCGCUUGUUAGUGAGGUAGUUGCUUUCCAAGGCUUUGGCGGGUAGCCGGCCUGAGAGGGGGAACGGGGACAUGGGGACUGAGGGACGGCGCAGACUGCUAUGGGAGGCAGCAGUGGGGAACAUUACACAAUGGCGGGAAGCGUGAUGCGGCAACGCCGGGUGCGUGAUGACGGCCUUCGGGUUGUAAACAGAUUUCGAAUGUGCUGAAGCGUGCGUGACGGUAAUGAGUAAAGAAGCAACGGCUAACUACGUG